rnacentral:rRNA from 1 species
UUGACCUCGGAUCAGGUAGGGAUACCCGCUGAACUUAAGCAUAUCAAUAAGCGGAGGAAAAGAAACCAACCAA